UUUAGUCUUCUGAACCUUAGCUGGGAAGCUCUGUUUAAUUUAAAACAAGUAGUUGAAUUUAGUUGAAUGCUUUAUGUCAGGCAUUCACUGGUUAUUUUCAGAGUUGAGAAACUGCAGUAUUUUGCUUCUUUUCUUUAAAUGGAUUUUUCCCUGAAAGUCCAAGGUAGACAGAUAAAAGAUACAGUUAUAAUUUGCAAAUGUAUUAAAAGUUACAUUUGUAGUGAAUCAGUAAAUAAAAAUAAUAGAGCAAAAGAAAAUAAUAGAAGAAUAAGAAUCUUCAAGGUAGAAGUUACUGCUGAGCGUGGCCAUUUUGCAUCAGCUUUAGAAGCCAAGAGAAUUACAUUUGUUUGGGUUACCUAGUAACAAGGACAUAUUGACUUAUAGGCUAGAUGUUGGUAUGAACAUUUUUGUGAAGACUGUUCUUAAAAACUCAUUGGAUUCCUUAAAACUAAUUUUAAUUCUGAAACAUGCAUAAGUGAUUACAACUUCCUAUUUGUGCAUUUUAAAGAAUAAUAUCCUACUAUCCAGCACAGAGCUUAAGAAAUGGAAAAAUACCUGAAUUAUCUUCUCCAAAUCGCAUCUUUCCAUCUCCAAAGCACAUCUAACCAUUAUGCUGAAUUUUGUAUUUCUUAUCUUUUCUGAAAUGUGACAUGUGUACAAUGUCUUAAAAAUACAUUAUUUUGGUUUUGUCUUUUAUGUAAAUAUACGUGUUCUAUUCCUUCCCCUCCAAACUUCCUUUUUUCAUAUACAUUCCAGUUUUGAAAUUUAUCACUACACUAACCCGUUUGACAUCAACUAAUUUGGUACAUCAUGAUCUGUAACAUCUGCUAAUGUCAUACUUUGAAACAUUUGCCUGGAAAAAACAUUUAAGUUUUUCUUUUAAUCUGCAUUUCCCCCCUUGCUAAUGGAGAUUUACGUUUUUAAGUGUUUACAACUAUUAGGGUUUCUGAAAGGUCUGAACUCAGUUUGGCUCAUUUUUUAUUGAGUUGUUUUUGAAAUUUGAAUUGUGAAUAAUUUUGUUUUUAGAGCUGACCUAUUUGCUUAUGAAUUAUGAUUGUUACAAAUGUCUGAAUUUGUGGGUUGUAUUUUCACUUUUUAUGGUAGAUGUUAAUCAUCAAAGCCUUUAUAUUAUAGGAUACUCAUUGUCAAAUUUAACAUUUUAGAUUAUAAUUGCAUGCUCUGUGCUUUAUUUUUUAGAAGAGUUUUCCCACCCUGAGACUUCAAGCUGUUUUUAUAGUGUCCUCUAAAAUUUUAAUAUGAAAUAUUCUGGACACAAAAAAGUACAGCGUGAUGGUGCAGGUCUGUAAUUCCAGUACUCUGGGAAACCGAGACAAGAGGAUGGUAGACUUGAGCCCAGCCUCCACCAAGUUACUGAUUUAGAGAGACCCUGUUUCAAAAAGCAAAACAGGUUGAGAUUGUACUCAGUGAUAAAGCUCUGGUUCAAUCCCCAGUGCUACCCCAGCCAACCUGAUUCAGAUUUUGAAUGGAUUUUGUUUAAACUGUGUAUUUAUUUAUAUUCAGAUCUUUUAUGUUCUUUAAUGCUUUGUAAUUCAUUACCUUUUAAAACAUUUUUCUAGCUUCAUAACUAAAAUUGGAAGGUUUUUUUUUAACUUACUGGCUCCGCGAUAAAGUUCUUUCUCAUCAUGAAUGAGGCCCUGAGUUUGCUCUCAGGACCAUAAAAAAAUACAUCUUUCAAAUUGAUUGUUAAUGUAUACAAAGCACAUUGAUUUUUAUGUAUUGGUCUCAUAUCCAGAAACCAUAUUGAACUUUUUGUUUAUUUUACUUUUGGUUACAGCUCUGCAUCGUCUAUAUAGACAGAACUAACAUUUGUGAAUACCGUUUUUCCUUUUCACUUUGUUAAAUCACAUAAUCAUUUUUCUCAUGCAUUACCAUGACCUCCAUCACAGUGUUUAAUGAACAUACUGAUAGUAUUUUUAUCUUAUCCCUGACUUUUCUAUAAUACUGUUAAUACUGUUAAAAUUUUAUUAGGCAGUACAGUGUUUGUUGUGGGAUUUCACUUGCUACUUCAUCAAUAUUUUAAGAGUUCUAUUUCUGAUUACUAAGUGUUUUAUUUACUAAUUCAUUUAUUCUUACCAGGAGUGACUGUUUAAUUGACUUAAUGCAUUUUCUUCAGCUAUUGAGGAAAUUAUUGUUUCCUGUUCUAAUAUAAUUAGGGGCUGUAUUGAUAGAUUUUCUGAUGUUGAAUGAGAUAGAAGACAUUUCAUUUUAUAGAAUAUUAAUAUAUGCCCACUUGCAUAAAAACAGGAUAUUUAUUACUGCAAGUGUAAAUAAAUUAGGAUAAGUAGAAUUUCAUUGCAUUUCUGUUUGUGUGUCAGAUUCGUUACAUAGCAGUGUUGGUAAGCUAAACUCGAUUAGAGCAAAUUCUCUGUUCUGUAACUUCUGUUCAUACUUUGUCACUAGACAAGAAUACUAAGUUAGCAUUGAUGUUUUAUCAGUAUUGUUUUUCACUCAUUCUGUAUAACUUUUUCUUGGUGUGUUUUUUGUGUACAUUAUUAGUUUUUCUAUGUCCCUGCUAGGGACUGUUUUAUUCUGUAUCACAUGUGUAAUAUUUUUGUGUGGUAAAUCUUGAUGUUUUCAAAUCUGUGUCAGCUAUAGUUACUUCCAACUCUUCUGUUUUCUCAUGUUUUAUUUUCUUUUGCUUUGUGGUGUUUCAUUUUGAGACAGGGUCUCACUAUGUAGUGCAGGUGCGCCUUGAACUCACUGUAAUCUUUCUGAGUCAGCCUCCUGAGUGCUGGGAUUACAAGCGUGCACCACCACAUCCAUCAUCUCAUAUGGUUUUAAAGUUAGAUUAAUAAAUGAAAGUGAUACUGAACUUGGUGGAUUUAUAAAUACUGCUUAGGAACAUGUCCAAGAUAAAUGGGUAAUUAGUACAUUAAUAUUUACAGAAAUCCAUUUUUAUAAAUUUUAAAUAUGUGUAUCUAAUACCAUAUAAAAAUCUAAAAGAAUGCAUGUAUUGUGUCCUGUACUAAUCUAAGAGAAACAAUAAGUGAAGAAUUUGUUUACUCUCAACUUCUUUAAUCCCUGUCUUUUCUGUCAAUAUAUAUUUAUGGGUUUCUUGUUUUAAUAAAAAAUAUAAUACCAGAAAGAGUAUACUUUUGUUUUAAAAGAUGGAUUUCUGGAAGGAAAUAGAACUGCGCAUACAUUGCAUUUUAAAUGUGUUGCGUCAAAGAUAGUCACAAAGAGUGCAAAGAAAAAAAUAAUCAAAAGAGGAAAGAAUGGGUAGGGAGAUAUCAACAAAGUUUCUCAUAAAAUUCUUUUCAGGAAUUAUUCUAACACAGUAACUUCAUAACCCAUAGUUUUACCUAAGUAUCAUUGAUUGCUAUAACAGCUCCUCCCACACAAAAUCCUGUGUAUUACCUUGCUAUUAAUGCAGCAGCCAUUUACUUAUAUUAUCAUGAUUACUGUUAUUGUUACUACUAUUGAUCUUAGUAAUGAAGAUCCUUCUUUUCUUCCCAGAUCUGGGAAAAUGUUGAUACCUUCAGCCAUCUGUUUUGUGCCUCUACUUCAGUGCAUCUUACAGCCUGUUUCCUGAAUAUUUCACGUCUCUUCUCUUUCCCCUGGUCCUGGAACUUUUAUUAGAGCUUCCUAGACGUAGCAUGCCCAUCUUAUAUCUUUAUGCAAGACUCUUGUCACCUAAGAAGUUGAUUCUCUUCCAUAUCUUCAUUAAUUUGUCGAAGUUCUUGUAUGGUAUGAAGGUAUGAAAACUAAAUCUGGGAAACCAUAACACAAAGAGACUAUGUGAAAAAUUGUAGAGUAAAACAUGAUAUAUCUUAGGUAAUAUCCAUGUCUGGGAAGCAAAAGAGGCUCAGAAAUUGGGAACAAAGCCUCACACAAUGGGACUGAUUAGAGCACUGCACUGAAUUCUCAGUAUUAUUCCCGUCAGCAUGGAUAACUUGAUUCUGCCCUUCCCUCAAAAUUCAAAUUUUUGGUUGAGGUAGUCUGAUUACUUAAGCCUCUGCUGCAGGCCGCGUAGCACCUUGAAGUAUAAACUAGUCCCUUUGGCCUGUGUAAUGGCCAGUAGGACACAAAACAUGUCAUAUGGUGUCCUCCCAAAAGUAGAUUCUAGUAGCAACAGAGCAUAGCACAAAAAAGAUAAAAAUUGUAAACCAAAGUUUAGUCUUUUUUACAGUGUGUCUCAGUGUCCAUGUUAAGUCUGCUUUCUUAUUUAUUCUAUAUUUUUAAUCUCAAUUAGGUUUAUAAUUUCAUUAAUUAAAUUGUUCUAUCAUUUAUAUCACAUCUUGUUUUAUGCAACUAUGACUAGUUUAUUCUGUUACACGGUUUGGCAUUCAAAUAUGACUAAAUCCCUUGUGAAACCUCUACUUUUCUCCCUACUGCCCUAAUCCUUUCAACAGAUGCCCCAUGAGAUUUAGAAUUCCACUAGCAUUCUGAGAGCAAGAAAACCAGUCUUAACGUCAUACAAGUAAUUCAUGAACUGUGACACAGAUUUAAAAAGUCAUCCUUACAUGGCCAUGAGUACAAGUAAGAGUGCUGUAAAUUCACCUGGUCAAGGGGUUAAAUGCUUCUCGGUGCUGACCCACAAUACAGAAUUAAACUCAGUGUAGGUAAUUCUCCAUUAAACAGGUCAAAUUUCUCCAGUCAAAAUUCACACUCACUGAUUAAAGUAUUUUUCCAGGUCAUGGCACUCCAACCUAGAGAUAGGAGAGAUUCCAGGGCCAUUUCCUUCCCAUUGGUGAGUGGGAGAAAGUUCACAGAUUACUACUGCUGUUAGGAUCUAAUGUGCCAGACUUAGCUAUGAGCUGUGUCUCCUUAGGGACACUGUUUCACUUGGACAUGGUGGGACCUAAGGCAGGGUUAUAUCUAUAGUGGAAAAUUGAGGUAGCAGAAAGAUGUAGCACUUCCUAAGAGUAAAAUUCUACAAAACAUGAUGGAAUGGCCUUUUGGCCUUUUGAAGGAAGAAAACCUUCAUGUAUUAUGACUGAACAUUAGUGUUUUGCCAUAAUCAGACAUGCCCCAAUGUAGCAUUCUUUAACAUCUAGAUUUCACAUAAUUUUCUAAAGAAAUAGAAUUUGGGUUUUUUCCUCUCCAAGAUGGCACAGGUUCUUUGAUCAAAUUGAUCUACUUGCCAUGAAAAUGGAAGUUUCCAAAAUCAAAAGAAAAAGGCCUUGUUAUUUCUCAAAAUACUGAUCCCACUUGCAAUUUACUUAAAUAACAGACCACAAGAAAUUUUCUGUGCCUAUUUAUUCUAAGAAAUUACUGGCAAUUUAUUUUGUAAAAGAAAAAGAAAAAACAUUUAUUCAUGGGUAAAAUAUUCCUGUGUUAGAACACAUAGUUAAAAAGUGGGUGGAAUUGUGUUGUAUAUGAGACAAUAUCAAACACCAUGAGUGGAAAAAAGGAUACUGUGAUUCAAAACUAAGUCUCUUAACAGGUAGCAUACAGUAGUUGCUUAUAGCAGGAUAAGAAAUGACAUCCAAUGAGGUCUUAAUCCUCUGAACACAUGAUGCUACUUUACUUUGCAAAGGAAUUUGGCAGAUGGGAUUAAGGAUCUUGAGAACAUCUAAUUGAGGCCCUAAUAAGUAUCAUUUAUCAACAGGGAAACAGGGAGCUUUGAAGGACAAGAUGGAAAUGUUAGGACUGAAGUAAAGCCGUCCUUUUGGCUUUGUGGAUUGGAGAGGGAACUAUUUGGAAACUGAGGCUGAAAACACCAGGUGGGAAGAGUGGUGCUGGUAGGAAGAAGCUGUGGAUUGCGAUUUCAUCCUGGCUUUACCGAGUUCUAAUUCAAGAAUGGCUCUGAUACGGCUGUAACAUGGAUACUUCAGAAUCUGUGACAUCCUUCAAGGGUCUGCUUUCCUGGAGCACUAACUGUAAUUUGAAGGAAGUAAUAACUGUAAAAGAGAAAUAACAACAAUUUAACAGAAAAUCUGAUGUGACAAGAAAAGGAGAAAAUUCAAAGAAUAGGACAACAAAUAAAUUAAGUAAAUAAUAUACUCAGGUAGGUUUAAGAUGUUAUAAUCAUAAAAUAAUGAGACAUAAAUUAAAUUUAGACACAUUUUAUAGAAUAAAAACAUAAAAAACAAUGUAAUAAAACUAAAAAGAUAUGCACACUUCAUAUUCAAUCCAGCACUUUUUUUAGGAGCCAAGAUAUGAAAACAACCUAUGUGUCCAGCAAUUGAUGAAUGAUUAAAACCUCCAGCCAUAAAAAAGAGUGAAAUCCUGUCAUGUGCAACAAUAUAAAUAUGAAAUGCAACUGGAAAUAAAUAUGUUAAGUGAUACAAACCAGGCACAGAAAAACAAACCUGACAUGCUCUUACGCUCAUGGAAUCUAAAACAGUUCAUCUCAUAGAAGCUGAGGGUACAAUAGUACCCACCAAAGGAGGGGAGGACAUAGAGGAAGCCACGAUAAUGAGAGGCUGAUCAGUGAGGCUCAGUUACAGUUACACAGGAGAAAGGCAUGCUAGUGUGCUACUCAAAGAGGGGUACUAUCGAAAGCAUUAAUGUAUUGAAUAUUUCAAAAAGCCAAAAGAAAAGGUUUCUGAAUGUUUUACAAUAAAGAAAUGGUUAAUAUUACAAGACCUAAAUUUAUGUGUACUCUGUUUUAAAUCUAUCUACCUAUCUAUCAUCUAUCUGUCUACAUUACCUUAGAAUAUUAUGUAUCUCAUUAAUAUGUAUAUUUUUAAUGUUUUGUAUCAGCUAAAUUUUUAAAAUUUUAUUUUUAAUUUUAUAUAGAAAAUAUAUAUAAGGAAAAUUUAGAGGGAACCUAUGUGGCAGCACAAUUUUUUUUAAACAGGAGUUUUAAUAAAGAGAACAUAAAUUCUAGAAUAUUAAAGAAAUAUUAUCAUAGAUAAGAACUGAAUCAUUAGACUAAAUUUUAGAAUGUGUUUAAUUUUCAGUAACAGUCUAACGUGCAAGUUUCCUUAUGUGGGAAAACUUAAUUUAUUAUGAGAUAGAAUCUCUUUGUGGAUUUUGUGUUUCCUGAUUACUGAUGAGGUUGAGCCCCUUAUCAUUUAUGUAUUGUCUACUGAGAAGUCUUUUUUUUGUUCAAGUUUCAGUCAUUUCCUCUGCCUAUUUUCCUUCCUUGUUAACUGUUUUCUUUUUACUGAUAUGAAAGUGUUAUUUCUAUAACUUUUUAUUGGUAAGAUAAUUUGGAAAUUAAUUAUAUCAUCUUUGUUUAUACUUUCCUGAUUUAUAAUCCAAUUUAUCAAUCCUUUGUGAUUAAAAAGCUUUGUUUUUUGUGUACUAUUUAAGAAAUCUUUUCCUACUCUAAUAACUUGAAAUGUUCUUUUUUCCUGGAAGUUUUAAGGUAUUGAUUUUUAUUUCUCACCUAGCAUUAAUCUUAUGUGUAGCAUGAGUUAUUAUAAUCGUAUGCAAAUUACAAGGCUUUAGCUACAAGGCUGUUCAUUUCUCUAUUAUCUGUCAUUUCUGUUAUAAACCUACCAUUCAAAAAUAUGUCCAUUAUUAGACUUUGUACAGUUCUAUAAUUAUUUAUUCAUCAUUUUGCUUGUUCCAUGUCAUCUAUACUCUUUGAACUUCUUUCUUUCUUUAAAAUAAUCUUCUUUGUCCCUUCCAUUUAAAGCAUGUUUGUAGGCUGGGGAUGUAGCUCAAGGGCAUAAACACCUGCCUGGUAAGCACACGGUCCUGACUUUGAUUCCUGGUGCCAAAAUAAAUAAAUAAACAAAUCCACACAUACAUAAAUACAUAAAAAGAAUAAGUGUCCUAUAAGGCCAGGGAUAUAGCUCAGUGGCACAGUACCUGCUUGGCAAGUGUAAGAUUGUGAGUUUGAUCCCCGGUAGGAAAAAAAAAAAUGCUUGUAAAAAAUCUGCAGGUUAAUUUGGAAAAUAUUUGAUAGCUUUAUGCCUCUGAGAUUUCCAACAAGUACUUAUGGAUUAUCUGUCUACUCAAUUUUUGUGUGUUUGUUUUUUGAGAUAGAAUCUCACUGUGCAGUUGAGGCUGGUCUUGAAUUAGCAGUGAUCCUGCUGCCUCCACCCUCAAGUACUGGCAUUGCAUGCAUGUGCCAACACCCCAGACCAUUUCUUUGAGUAAUACUUUGCAUCUAUUGUUUUGUUGUUUGUGUUCUCAGCAUCAUUUUGAUGGUGUUAAAGAGAUUGUUGUUAUUUGAUACUUCUGUCUUGAUUCCUUCUAAAAUUUCAUUUUCUAAUUUUUAGUACUAAUAUAAUGAACAAUAUUUUAAUUUUCUCACAUUAUAUUUACAUAGUAGCCUCACUAAAUUCACAUAUUGCAUACUUUCUAUAUAUGAAAUUAUUAUUUCUAUGACUAAUACCUCUUAUUUUUUAUAAUCCUUAUAUCUUUUUUUCUCAUUAUCUUUUUGUCUUAAAAUGCUCCUCAGUAGAAUGUAGAAUAGAAGUAACUCUUUUUUGUCAAAUUCUUUAUUUCAGGUAAAAA